AGUGAACGCUGGCGGCAGGCCUAACACAUGCAAGUCGAACGGCAGCACAAGAGAGCUUGCUCUCUGGGUGGCGAGUGGCGGACGGGUGAGGAAUGCAUCGGAAUCUGCCCAUUUGUGGGGGAUAACCUCGGGAAACCGGGACUAAUACCGCAUACGACCUACGGGUGAAAGCAGGGGAUCUUCGGACCUUGCGCAGAUGGAUGAGCCGAUGCCGGAUUAGCUAGUUGGAGGGGUAAAGGCCCACCAAGGCGACGAUCCGUAGCUGGUCUGAGAGGAUGAUCAGCCACACUGGGACUGAGACACGGCCCAGACUCCUACGGGAGGCAGCAGUGGGGAAUAUUGGACAAUGGGCGCAAGCCUGAUCCAGCCAUGCCGCGUGUGCGAAGAAGGCCUUCGGGUUGUAAAGCACUUUUGUUGGGAAAGAAAAGCAGCCGGUUAAUACCCGGUUGUCAUGACGGUACCCAAAGAAUAAGCACCGGCUAACUUCGUG
rnacentral:rRNA from 1 species